UCGGGUUUUGGCAUUGCCUAGGUCCGUUACGGCAAUAUAAAGAAGUCAACUCAACUUGAUCUCUCAUACCGAGCUCACGAAGGCUCUCGGCACAGCGGAGCGGCGGCGAGGAGGAGGAAAAGUCGGGAGGAGGAGAAGGAUGGGGGGCGGGAUGGAGGUGAACAAGAACAGGUGGAUCGAGGAGUGGAACGCCGGGAGGGAAAACCUGGAAUUCAACUUCCGCUGGACCCGCCGCAACCUCGCCAUCGUCGGCAUCUUCGGCGUCGCCGUCCCCAUCCUCAUCUACAAGGGCAUCGUCAACGAAUUCCACAUGCAAGAUGAGGAUGCUGGAAGGCCGCUGAGGAAAUUCCUCUGAGGAAUAUGAAAAUGGGUUCUGCUUUCUUCUUUCUUUAAUAAUGGAAAAUAUCGUGUUGUUGACGAAUUGGCUUUUCGGAAUGCUCAGAGAAGCGUGAUAGCCUACUGCUACUAUAUUUUCUUGUAAUUUCUAUUCAAGUACUGUUGAUAAUUAUGGUAUGUUUUCAGAUCGAAUCAAUUUUUCUCUUUUCCAAACCCCUGUAGAUCUUUUGUGUCCACUUAAUAGGUGUGGUAUGAAAAGUUUGAGUGUUAGGUCUGGCAUUUGGGCGUUUCCACAGAAGCAAUUAGGUUGUAACUAGGGAGUCAGGUGGAGAGCUGUAGCCUAGAUUGGUGGAGUAGGAUACGCAGGUGGAUUGGCAUUGCAGGGCAUGUCGUGGAGUUGUGUGAAUGGAUUUUGCUACGUGGAAACUCUUGGGAAAAAUCUUGGCUGGGGGAACAUAUUGUGUUAUGUGUUAGGAGGAACAUGGAAAUUUGAUAUUAUUUCAGAGUUUUUAAACGUGAUUGCUCUUUUUAACUUGAUAGCUGAAUUUUAAUGAGGAUCCUGUGGUAUCAAUUGUAGAUCCAAUUGGACACAGAAGAAAGUGUGGGUUUAAAGUCAUUCAGAAAUCACAAGUUGCAAGGCAUGUUGCAUCUGAAUCAUAAUAACCUUAGUAGGCAGUGCAAUGCAAUUGUGAUGUUUCUAGGUGCGUCAACAUCUUCACAAGAGUGAAUGGGAUGGAUGUCAAUGUAAAAUGUGAUUUUAUAGAGUGGAUGAUGGACAAGCAUCAUUAUGUAAUGCCAGAGACAUGCAACAUUGUGUAACAUUUUGGAGAAGCAUCACUUUGAAUAAAUCCAGAAUUGUCUGUGAUGGAUUGAUAGCAACAAAAAGGGAUUUUACUGAUUCAUCGGAAUAUCCAGCUGUUUUGGUAGAAGAGCAUCACUAGAACAUGUCCCAACUAUGACAUAAACAAAAUGAUGAUCUUGAAGCUUAAUGAGUUGCAGCGAGAAAUCUUGAAAACAUGCAAGAAAUAUGCAAGGUUGGUCUAGUUCAGGAAUACUAGCCAUCUCAACAUCCUUUUGGAGCAACUAGUUGAUGCAUGAGGUCUUUAUUCAUCAAUGACAUGAUGGCUUCUUGAGAAGCUUGCAUAUCCAAAGGCCAAUCAUGCACAUCAACAUCAAUUGACAUGAGUGACUCGUUAUUUUUUGGACUGGUCAUAACAUGCUGCAUGAUUAGGCCUCAUGUUGAACUCAUAAGGAUUCAAAGGUUGGAACCAUAAAAUUUGACGCACAGCUAAAGGAUUUUAAGACAAGCGUUGCAACAGCAGUGGUUGAUUUGACCAAUAGUUGAAAAGGGGCAUAGUUUUUUUGUUGUUUUUAAACAAUAAAGAUCUUGCUUCUAGUUAAGUUGCUGUAUUUCAAGGAGCAGUUUAGGAUUCAUCAGGUGAUAUGGAGACGAUUCUUUUUCUAUGUAUUUGAGAUUUUUCAUUUUUUUAAAUAGUGGAUCAAAUAUAUAACUUUGGUCUCCCUUUAAAUUGACUUAACCAGUUCUUGGAAAUCCGUUUUUGAAUUUUAUUAUACAUCUUACCAGUUCUAGGAAACCCUUUUUGAAUCUUUUUAUUCAUUUUACCAGUUCUAUGAAAACCUUAUUUCGUUGAAAUUGCCAGUUUUAUGCCCUUAGAUUUUUAUUUAGUAGUGAUGAUUGAUGAAGCUUUAGUUUUUAUGCCGAAAAAAGCGAGGAUUAGUUUGAUCAGCUGAGUUAUAGUUUAUGAUGUGAAGUUCGCAUGUAGUUCUUUGAGGUGCUGAUGGGUGUUAAUUUGGCUGAAAGAAAUGGAGCAUGCUGGUGGUAGAGGAAAGGCUAAGGCUAAUUUGCUACACACUAUACUUUUUGAUGGGUUACCUUUGAUGUCUGGAUGAACUUUUACCCUGAAGUGGCUAUAUUAGGUUAUUAGUGUUGAAAUCCCGUCUCACCAUAUGCAGAUUGUGAAUUUAGAGCUUCAACAUGGGAUUGUGAAUUUAGAGGUUCAACACGGUUUAUCAUGAAGAUUAUGUUCAUUUGGAGGAUCCAUACAUACAUACAUACAUACGUAUAAAGCAGUUUGCAGAUGAGGUAGCGGAUUAGUUUGCAACAUACAUACAUAUAUGAAGCAGUUUGCAGAUGAGGUAGCGGAUUAAGUUUGCAAGCAGGUGAAUAUGUAUAUGAUGACUUCUAAUAAUUUAAAUGUACGACCUAGAAUAUUUUGUUUUUUCCCAACCAGUAUAACUCUUUAGUGUAACAGACAUAAGCAUUCGAGGAGCUAUUCACUGCAAGAUAUAAUGAAAACCUGUACAUACUCAAAUAUACCAUCCUAUGGCAAAUCCCUUAUGCUAUGUAUACAUAUGUGGAGCAACCCUUCAUUGACUUGGAUAACCUUGAGAAUCCUCUUAAAAUUUGUGCUUACUCGCUAUACUUGCCAUUAUCUCUUUUUUUUGUAAAAAAAAUUGUCUUAUUGAUGGUUUUACUGAUGAACAUGUUGUAGCUAAGGAUUAAACUCUAUUGUGCUUUUAUUGAUGGUUUUUUGGUGGAUGAAUGCUUGAUAUCUUGAUGAUUUCUUGUAAGUAAUUACUAUCUGGUUUAUGGUCUGGUGUGUGUGUUUAGAUAUGAGGUAAUGGAAUCGUUGAAAUUGUAGUUGUCUGGUUUCAGCCAUCGGUGACAGACUUCAUACUAAUUCGAAAUUUAGGGUCCAUUUUGAAAUUUCAUUGUUUCUUUCUUGGCAGUCGAUGUCCAAAAGCUUACACAAUUUAGUCAAGCUUUUAUCAACUUUCUGUGAUUAUUUUGUCUGCUCUUCCUGGCUAAUGCUAGUUCCAACUUCAGAUAAAAAAGGUGGAUGUUGAUGUUAGGUUGAUAACCAGUCAAAAAGAGCAUAUCAAACUAUGACAUAGGUUCCAGAUUUGACAUUUGUGAAUGCCAGGACAUUUACAAGAUUAUAUCAGAAGUUAUCCUAAAUAGGAAUGUUUUUGUCAUAAGAGGAUCAAUAAAGCAACCAAGAAUAAGAAUAGUUCGGGAUUCUUAUGGUUAUUUAUCCCUAGAUAAUGUCAGUUUCUCUAAUUCAUCAAGCAUACGCUAGCUAUGAUCUCUUAUUUCUACGGCAAUUCUGAAACCCUUGAUUACAUCAAAUUUUUGUUGAAAUUUGAUGGUUAGCAGCUUUAAUCUUUGUUUCAUAGAAAUUUCAUGCAUCAGUGUUUUGUCAAGAUUUCAUGUGUUCAGAAAGCUGACUAUUUAGGAUAUACUGUGGUAAAAGUUUGAUCCCUCCCCACUCCUUGCAUUUCUCCAUUGGAUUAAGGUUUGUAUUGGAUUAAGGUUUGUCUUGACGCAUCCUUGUUAACAUUCUUCCCUUCAUCUCUUGCAACCCAUGAUAUUUAUGAAGGUCGUCUCUAAGAAUAAACGCGACUGGCACAAAAGGCUGCCGGAAGCUCUAUGGGCCUACGGGACCAAUUCUCUGCCUCCAUAUCUGACUUUGCCCUAAAAAAUUAAGAUGUGAAAUAGCCUAGUUCUAUCUGGUGUUGCAGAAUAUUCCAAGAAGAGGUUCCCAGGAUAUGCGUCACUUAGUAUUGUGUAUGCAACAACGCAUCGUGGAAAUGAAAAUGUCGGGAUGUUCCCUUGUCAUUCCAUCUAAUUAAGUUUCUUGAUUAUGUUAUAAAUGAAAUCAGAUACUUAUUACUCCUGUGAAAGUAAAGAAGGGACCGACAAGAUCUGGGAGAUGUUUUUCUUUUGCAGUCAUAUUGUGGCAGCCACAAGCAUUCAUGGGAUUGGAGACAGGAAAAUGUUCCUCCUUUUGGAUUUGUCUAGUCCCUCCUUUUAGUCCACUGAUCUAUAGAAAUGUUUUUUUUUGGGUAGAAUUUGCAAUUUCUUUAAACUUCUGUCAUUCAUUGCAGCUUUUCCUCAUCUGGCCUUGCAAGAUGAAGCCAUGCUGUGUUAUGUUCGGUACUCUCAUGGGAAUCUACGUUCUGGAAAACUUUAUUUUACUGCAAUUGGCUGAGAAGAUUACAUUCUUUUGAGCCGUUAGAAUUAUGUCACGCCGUAUAAAAGGCUGGGAGAACCAUGCUUGAUCUGAUUUCUUGAUUGGAGCCUAUGUGUUUGUGUAAAUAUUAUUUUCAACAUGUCAUACAAUU